GGUUAGGCUAGUGUUGAUUUCCAGAUGAAGUGUGGACCGCAGCCUGCCAGAAGAAGUGCACAGAAUUCAGGGACAUACAGCGGCCCACCCCAGCAUUGAAGGUACGGGCUUGGACAGGUUGCGUGGAAGAAGAGCAGGCCGACACCAGUAGGCAGCUGUUCUGCGAUGCAUUGCGGUCAAUCCCUGAGUUGCAGCAGAUGAGGAGGUGUAUGCUGACCCUGAAGGAUUCCAACAGCAGUCAAGAAGAGAAGAGGAGGAUGCGCAGCAAGCAACAGAGCCCACCCGAGCCCAGCCCAGCCCACCUCAGCCCAGCC